UGAGGAAUUUUGCGCAAUGGGAGCAAUCCUGACGCAGCAACGCCGCGUGGGUGAUGAAGGCCUUCGGGUCGUAAAGCCCUGUCAGGAGGGAAGAAUGUCCCGAGAGCGAACAGGUUUUGGUAGUGACGGUACCACCAGAGGAAGCACCGGCUAACUCCGUGCCAGCAGCCGCGGUAAUACGGAGGGUGCAAGCGUUAUUCGGAAUUACUGGGCGUAAAGCGCGUGUAGGCGGUCCUGUAAGUCUGAUGUGAAAGCCCCGGGCUUAGCCUGGGAAGUGCAUUGGAAACUGGGGGACUUGAGUACGGGAGAGGAGGGUGGAAUUCCCGGUGUAGGAGUGAAAUCCGUAGAGAUUAGGAGGAACAUCGGUGGCGAAGGCGGCUAUCUGGACCGUAACUGACGCUGAGACGCGAAAGCGUGGGGAGCAAACA
rnacentral:rRNA from 1 species